GACGAACGCUGGCGGUAUGCUUAACACAUGCAAGUCGAACGAGAAGUCUUUUAUUGAACCUUCGGGGGAUAUAAGAGACAGACAGUGGCGAACGGGUGAGUAACGCGUGGGCAACCUACCUAUCGGAGCGGGAUAGCCUCGAGAAAUCGGGAGUAAAACCGCAUAACGCGGAUAUAUCGCAUGAUGAAUCCGUCAAAACUCCGGUGCCGAUAGAUGGGCCCGCGUCUGAUUAGCUAGUUGGUAAGGUAAGGGCUUACCAAGGCAACGAUCAGUAGCCGGUCUGAGAGGGCGAACGGCCACACUGGAACUGAGACACGGUCCAGACUCCUACGGGAGGCAGCAGUGGGGAAUAUUGCGCAAUGGGGGCAACCCUGACGCAGCAAUACCGCGUGAGUGAAGAAGGUUUUCGGAUCGUAAAGCUCUGUUAUUGGGGAAAGAAA
rnacentral:rRNA from 1 species